rnacentral:lncRNA from 1 species
CUCCCCUCCACUCCCCCACUGCCCCUAGGUUCCUUCCCGGCUCUGAGCGGGUUCUUCAGGGUUUCGCGGCCCCCGCUGUAUCUUUACUUUUACCCUUUACCCGGAGUUUGGCAUUCUCAGAGGCCAGAGGAAACCCAAAACAGCGAUGGGAUAAAGAGGGGUCAAGAUACAAACACGCAGAGAAGACAGGGGUAGAUUCCCGAGCUAAAAUGAGGGGGAGGGACCUCACAAACAAACAGAAAACAAAAUAAGAAGGGCUAGAAAAGAUAGAAAUUCACCACCCCACGCACCUCAGCGCCCGUGACCGAAUAACAUGGUAAAGGAUUCAACUGAUACUAGUUGGCCUGAACUGGAAAAGGCAAAUCUCUAGCCAACCCUACCCCCACCCCUCAGUAUUGGGGCGCGGAGCGGAGUGUGUGUGUGUGUGUGUGUGUGUGUGUGUGUGUGUGUGUUUGUGUGGAGAGAGAGAGAGAGAGAGAGAGAGAGAGAAAAUAAGAGAACAGAUCAGCCCGGGGGAGCAAGCAAGAAACCGACAAGAAAGCAGAGAAGGAGCGACAGAAAUCAAAGAGAAGGAAAGCUAGAUAGAGAUGCAGAGACAGAGACAAAGCUUCGAAAAGAGACGGACUGACAGCCCCAGAGGGGGAGAGGGAGAGACAGAGACAGAGGAAGAGAGACAGAGCCGGGACAGGUUGACAGAUCGAGAGAGAAAUGUAAAUGGCGCGCUGCAGAGAGACACCCAGGUCCGUGUUUGGACUCCAAUGUGACAUAUCAACUGUGGGGAAGAUGCGGGGGCAGGGCGGCUCUGCCAGCAGUGCUAGGCUCUGGGCCUGUGCAUUGUGACAGUGUGCUCCAAAGUGUGGAGGUGGCCAUGGGAUCCUGGCCCUGUGUGUCCCUGGGGCCCGUCACAGUGUGGUUCUCCCUACUCAUUCCCACACUCUGGCUUUCAACUCCCACAUUGAAGAUCACAUGGAUCUGGAAGCAGCCUGGGUUGCCUGGUAGCAGUCCUCUAGUAUGAAGACAAGGGAAUCCACGUGAGAGGACAGGGGACGGCAUGGAAAGGGAAACAACAUUAUUGAGUCCUUAUUGUAUUUUAGGGCUUUAACAUGCAACUUCUCGUUGCAUCCUCACAGCACCCUUUAGAGUUAGAUCUAUU